ACAACAGGGGAGCCUGCAGGAGCAGGCUGAGAGUAAGCUGUAACGCUUUGACCCAUAACCUGAUUUGGAUAAUGCCAACGUAGGGAGAUACGGUUG
rnacentral:ncRNA from 1 species